UAGGAGAAAAGUGCUCGGGGACUUUUUUCCUCAAAUCUGGCCAUUUUGAACAAUGUGCAAGCGGACUUGUUCUCGUUGGGAUUAGUUCUGUAAGAAAUAACAGGACUACUUCCGGUUAAGAAAACGGAUCAGUUUAUUCGACCGGUUGGUAAAUGACGGAAAUGAGGAUUUGGUAGAGAAUUUUCUGAGCGAUGGAGUGAGACAGGCGAUUAUAUCUUGUACGAAACGGAAGCUAGAAAAUCGGAUAGAAAGUAUGAAUCAAGUCGUUUAACUAGUAAAUUUAAGAGCCAUUACAAUUCCCGCGCAAGAAAUUGCCGCCAGAACGAGUGAAGAAUUAGAACUAUGUCUCCAUUUUGUCUCGAGUGGGUGUACCAUCUUCUUGGAAGAGGCGACCUACACGUGCAAUAUUGACCUGCGUGUCGACCACGUGGCGAUUGUUGGUCGCGGGGCAAAAACAGUGAUUGAUUUAUGUCGCGAUAACUCUAUCGAGAUUAGUGCCAAUCACUGCACCCUUUCAAACUUAAAGGUAGCCUUUAGUUCCUUUGGAAGUAGUGUAAUCUCGUUAAGGGGAUCACAGAAUGAAAUAAAUGACAUCGAAGUGACACAUUAUUUAAAUGUCCCCGUCGUAUCACAAGAUGCUAGCUUUUGGGACAUUAUAAUUGAAGGAAGUCACAAUAUUUUGCAAAGAGUAAAAAUUAACUGCUCGAUAUUUGAAAAUUUCUAUAUUGUAGUGACAAAGUACGCAACAAAUGUUGUCAUUUCCGAUUUACUAGUGACCAAAGGACGUGUCGAGGUAUACCUUUACGGUCAAAAUAAUACUCUGAGACAUAGCAGAAUAUGUGAAGCGAUAAGUCUGUCAGAAAUUUUGAGACAAUUUUAUCGUCCGACAGAAUUGCUUUUAUUUAUGAAAGGAUUGAAUUGCACUAUUGAAGAAAUUAAGUGUACCUACGUUGAAGUUGAGGCAGGGUCGUUGACAAAUGUAGAAUGCGGUGGCACUAUUAUGAUUGUGGGCAACCCUCAAGGAAUUAUAUUGAAGGGAUGUAAAGCAAAAACUUUGUGCGGCGGUCCAUCAGUCGCCAUGAAUGAGUGGGAUGUUACCACAAGGGGUACGAAGUGUACUGUGAUGUAAGAAGGGAGAUGAACUGUAUGAGUGCGAAAGCAUGUAAGAUCGUAAUAAAUAGAUUUUGAGGAUACAUAUGUAUGAUAAGUUUAAUAUUGGGACAAUUCAACAUUUUCCAAACCCGUAAAUUCUGUAAACAUAAACUUCUACGAAAUUUUAGAAAUAUUUUUUUUAUUUUACAAAAACUUUUAAAACAACACUUAUGAAUAUUUCAUAAAAGUUACCAAGGACUGCGUUAAUUGCCUUAUAUUAUAAAUAUAUGUUAUAUUUUUUAAAUAAAAUUCUCUUCGGAUAUGUAAACGAGGAUAGUAUAUAUGUAUUCGAGGUCGACUUGCAUAAUGGACUUUCAGUCAUCAAAAUCAUCCUGGUGCGAAAUUUUUUGGACACCUCGACAAUAUCCACGGGGAGCAGGUUCCUCUUCUGCCUAUACUUUCAUUCUAAUGCGUGACGAAUUUUUGACAUUGGUUUUCUGAACAAUAAAUACUUUAUAUAACUUGGCAAUUAAAUUUAAACUUGAUGAUUUACAUAAGCCACCAAUUUAGGGUUUCCUUAUACAUACAUACGUGGAAACAAUUAGCGAAAAUGUUAAUGUAUCAGUUCUUUUAUGUAUGUGUGUCAAGUUUUGUCGUAAAUAGUUUAUUGUAUAAAUGAGAGAAAACAAUUAUCUGUUAUAACUGGAUGCAAGAAAGUAUCGGUAUGGAAUACAUACAAGAAUUUUGUGUAUAAAAUUUUAACAUUUCUUAUUCAUAUGCAUGUUCACAACAUCUUAAAAUUCAAAAAACGACCUUUGGCCAAGCCUUAUGAUCGGAUGUCGUUUAAUAUAGGGUUUUCAAUUUGAGAUUUUAUGAGCAAAAAUUCCAAUGACUUUUAAAACCAAGACAGAACGUUCUCAUAAAGUAGCUUAUAUAAGUACCUUAUACAUAUAAGUGCAUAUGUGUUUCUACAUUCUCCCGAAAACUAUGCAUGUAACAAUGGGAUGAGUUUCAUACAUUGCUAAUUUUUAUUUAUAACAAUGGAUAUUAAUUAUGCACGCACAUGUCUAAAAAUUAGUUCGUGUCACAUUUAAGUGGUUGACGUUGUGGAGAAAAAUUGGUAUAAAAUGAGUAGCUAAUUGGCUUACUAAACCAUUCCGGUUUUUACCUCAUUCUAAAUUUUGUUAUUAAAAACUGAAAUUAGUUUUUACUUCGAAAUUUAAACAAACUUUGAAACCAAGUACAAUUUCACGAGUACAAACAUGAAUCGAAACGUCAUCUUGGUAUUUUUGGUCUUGGCAAUGUUUGCUCUGACCGUUGCUGGACAAGAGUGCAUAAAGAAGGGGAUGUUCUGCUCGACCGUAAAGUUGGAGGGGGAUUUGCAAGACACGGUCGGCGUGUGCUGCAAAGGUCUGUCCUGCAAACCCGUGGCGAUUUCCGAUUCGGCCGGCUCCUGUCAGUAAACUGAAAACGAUUUGAUUUUCUUCCUCUACUAAUUUGACAAUAUACUGGAAAAGUUUAAUGGAAUAAUGGACAAUAAAUAAAUAUUUGAGCAUAUAAUAAGCGUUU